AUUGAACGCUGGCGGCAGGCCUAACACAUGCAAGUCGAGCGAGUGGCGGACGGGUGAGUAAUGUAUGGGGAACUGCCCGAUAGAGGGGGAUAACUACUGGAAACGGUGGCUAAUACCGCAUACCAUCGGAUGUACCCAUAUGGGAUUAGCUUGUUGGUGGGGUAACGGCUCACCAAGGCCACGAUGCCUAGCUGGUCUGAGAGGGUGACCAGCCACACUGGAACUGAGACACGGCCCAGACUCCUACGGGAGGCAGCAGUGGGGAAUAUUCGGCAAUGGGCGCAAGUCUGAUGCAGCAACGCCGCGUGUAUGAAGAAGGUUUUCGGAUCGUAAAGCACUUUUGGUGGGGAGGCGUUAUCUACCCAGAAAGCAACGGCUAACUCCGUGCCAGCAGCCGCGGUAAUAC
rnacentral:rRNA from 1 species